rnacentral:tRNA from 1 species
GGUCGUAUAGCUCAGUUGGCUAGAGCGCUUCAUUCACAUUGAAGAGGUCCCUGGUUCAAGUCCAGGUACGACCACUA